rnacentral:misc_RNA from 1 species
UAAAUCACGACGAACCUCGCGUUUCGCGAGGUUUUGCGUCCAUUUUUCGUAUUUAAAACAUCCCACUCUUUAAAAAAUUAUCUAAUGAUAAAUAAAUAAAAAGA